rnacentral:rRNA from 1 species
GAUGAACGCUGACAGAAUGCUUAACACAUGCAAGUCUACUUGAAUUUGGGUUUUUUAACUUAGAUUUGGGUGGCGGACGGGUGAGUAACGCGUAAAGAACUUGCCUCACAGCUAGGGACAACAUUUGGAAACGAAUGCUAAUACCUGAUAUUAUGAUUAUAAGGCAUCUUAGAAUUAUGAAAGCUAUAUGCGCUGUGAGAGAGCUUUGCGUCCCAUUAGCUAGUUGGAGAGGUAACGGCUCACCAAGGCGAUGAUGGGUAGCCGGCCUGAGAGGGUGAACGGGCAAAAAGGGAAUGGGGCACGGCCCUUACUCCUACGGGAGGCAGCAGUUGGGAAAAAUGGACAAUGGACCAAGAGUCUGAUCCAGCAAUUCUGGGUGCAAGAAGACGUUUUUCGGAAAGUAAAGUGCUUUCAGUUGGGAAAAAAAAAAUGACGGUACCAACAGAAGAAGUGACGGCUAAAUACGUG